rnacentral:lncRNA from 1 species
ACUUGAUGAAGUCAGUGGGAGGAUUGAGAUUAGUUGGUCUAUAUAUUUAAUACUGUUAAAUUAUGUUAACCAAAUUCUCUAAAUUAUUAGGUCCAUAAAAUGAGCUAGUCAUGAUGAUAACUAGAUCAUAGCCUCCCAUUAAGAUGAAUGGUAAUGGAUUCAUCAUUUUCGAUUGACAUUGCAGGCGCCAUCCGUCUGGUAUUUUUUUGAAUAAUGGAAUUAUUAUUUAUCAUAUGAUGACUUUACUGUACUAUUUGAUGAAUGGUUGGAUUGGCCAAGCCCUACUUGAGCCUG